rnacentral:sRNA from 1 species
UCCACUUAUAUGCAGAACAGGUGUAACACUGACAGUGGUAGUGUUACGUUCCCUACAUUGGACAGCCAGUGUGCCUCAACCCUGACCUGGAGGGACCACUUCUCAGUGUGAGGGA